CUUACAUGCAAAUCAAUGAUAUUACAUAGUACAAGCUAUUCCCAAAUGAGGAAAAACUCAACCGGCUAGUAUUAAACUGAAGUACCUAUUAAUCAAAACAAUGCUAGCAGCUCGAUCAUUGUCGAACCAAACUAGCUGAUACACAACGUAUAACACUAUAACGUAUUGGUGUUCAAUCUUCAAUACCUGCAUUUCUUGACGAAAGCUCCAAUGCAAAGUCAUAGUGUCAUCAGCAAUGUAUAGAUCUUCAUCUUUUAUUGUGCAAGAACAACACACGGUCAUCGCGUAAUCUUCCAAACUUCAGCAUAGAAUAAGACUGAAAGGGACUACUUCUUUUUUUCCCUUGUUUAUCCCGACAAGGAUAAUUGUCCAAUGUAUCUACAGGUUUUUACAGGGAAACCUUGCCACAUUUAUAUAUAAGUGCUUUAUUCUGCUAUACAAGUAGUUGUAGAUGAAGUUUCAGGUUCGGAACUUUUCCAGUAAGCCUCCGAAGAAAAAGCUUGUCUUAGCCAGACCACCAGUUUCAGGUGCCUUUGCAGAUGUUGGGUCUUUCUUCACGUUAAGCAUCAUUGUCUGUCCAAUUUCUUCACGCAGUCUUUCAAUCGUCUUCAUCUCUACAGGGUUUCCAGACGCAUCUCUUACGUAGAAGAAAUUCUUUGCUUUCUCCCCAAUAGUUGUAACACCAGCUCUAGUCACUGAUAGCCCAUUUUCUCGUAGGACUCUCGUAACUUCAGAAAGUAAGCCAACUCGGUCCUUGGCACACAACUCAAAGCUGAAGCCCUCACUUAUCCUUCGCCGAAUAGCAGCUUCAAUACACUUCACAACCUUCUCCUUCUCCGCUUCAGAUUCCAGAGUGCAACCAUCCAUGUGGCGAAUAAAAUAUUCCUGUGAUGCAGAGGGACCAUCUGAUGAGAUAGUGGCAUGGAAAACAGCAUACUGCAUGUCUGUGAGGGUGCAUACAAUGUCAAACAUAAGCUUUGCUCUAUCCUUGCAACUUACACUGACCACUGAGUACCCUUUCUCGACACAGCUUUCAAUUCUGACGUCUGGUUUGGAGUUAGGAGGGUAUUCUAUCUCCAUUUCGAGACAACCACCUUCGUAGUCCCUAUCAGCAAAAAACAUCUGAUGAAGCCUCCGAUCAACAUGAGUACUACCAACUGAGAAAGUAGCAUGAGCCCCACUCUCAUCAUCCUCACGCCCACGAAGAAUGUUAUUGAGUUGCUCUUCCAUGACACACAAUCUGGAUUCUUCAUCCUCAUCAAGGGAUGAACAAUUAUCAUUGAUAUAAAGGACACAUGCUAUGCGCCCAUUAUGAGUCCAAACCUCGGCAGCAGCGACAUUAAAAUGAAGAUUGGCUAGAACAGCAGAAAUUUCUGAUAGAAGGCCUGGACGAUCCCUGCCUAUUAGCUCAAUGGUGGUAUAAUCACCCAUAGAGUUCUCUCCUACCUUUCUACCUGGACAUGUCUUCAAUAUGCCUGAUGUGUAACCUUCAGGUCCUAGAGCCUUUUCUAUAUGACCAAUAGUAUUGUUGUCUGUAACCUUGUUUCCAUGUUGAUCAGUAACAUGAAAUACAUCCAUGAACCACCCACCAUCAGAGGAUAUGUAGGCUUUGGUAAUUACAAGAUCGAGGUCUGAUAGGAUUUGCACCACUUCCAGCAGUAUUCCAGGUUUGUUGAUACUGUCAACCUUCACUAGAGUACAAUCCCUGCAAGUCGCAUUGUCCACAGAUACCCUUGGAGGAUUUAUUCUGAUACUUAAGGUCUCGUAUUCAGGAUCAAAGUAAGGCCCAUAACUCCUUGCCAUAUGAACAACACUCCUGUAGUCAACAAAGAUACUUCCCGUUUUUCCUUUACAUCGAAAGUAGCCAAUUUUUCUCUAUAGCAGCUGACUGGCCUGGUCAUCCAUCAUGACAAUGAUAACAAAUCAAACCAGCAUUUUACCAACACUGAGAAGAAAUCAGUGUAAACAGAGGGAAAAUUAAGUAGGAAUCCAGUUGUUCAUACAUUCAGGAAGAAGAAGAGAGAAUGUUUUGGAUUAAAUAGAAGGAGAAAAAGGGAAAAGCGGAAAAACUUUCGACGUAGGAGUAGCACUUGUGCUCCGCCUCCUCCUCCUCAGCUACCACUUUC
rnacentral:misc_RNA from 1 species